rnacentral:misc_RNA from 1 species
AAGGAUCAUUAAUGAGAACUUGCCCCUCGGGGUAGAUCUCCCACCCUCUGUGAACUUACCCAUGUUGCUUUGGCAGGCCCGUCCUCGGGCCGCCGGCUCCGGCUGGCCAGCGCCUGCCAGAGGAUCUUCAAACCCUGCCUGUCAGUGUUGUCUGAGUCUAUAUAUAAUUGUCAAAACUUUCAACAACGGAUCUCUUGGUUCUG